UCCUUAGAUGUUCUGGGCGGCCCGCGCACUACAUUGGCACUGUCAGCAAGGGUCUGAAACUAAAACUUUUGGGUAUUCUGAGAACCGGUGUCGUGACUGGGAUUGACCCUUGCAAUUAUUGGUUAUGAACGAGGAAUUCCUUGUAAUCGCGGUUUAUCAGCCCGCGUUGAAUGCGUCCCUGCCCUUUGUACACACCGCCCGUCGCUCCUACCGAUGAAUCGUCCGGUGAAGUUCAUGGAGUAGUGGUUGUUCCAUCCGCUGUCGAAGUGAAAUAAACCUCAUGAUUUAGAGGAAGGAGAAGUCGUAACA
rnacentral:rRNA from 1 species